rnacentral:rRNA from 1 species
GAUGAACGCUGGCGGAGUGCCUAAUACAUGCAAGUCGAGCGAACGGACGAGAAGCUUGCUUCUCUGAUGUUAGCGGCGGACGGGUGAGUAACACGUGGAUAACCUACCUAUAAGACUGGGAUAACUUCGGGAAACCGUAGCUAAUACCGGAUAAUAUUUUGAACCGCAUGGUUCAAAAGUGAAAGACGGUCUUGCUGUCACUUAUAGAUGGAUCCGCGCUGCAUUAGCUAGUUGGUAAGGUAACGGCUUACCAAGGCAACGAUGCAUAGCCGACCUGAGAGGGUGCUCGGCCACACUGGAACUGAGACACGGUCCAGACUCCUACGGGAGGCAGCAGUAGGGAAUCUUCCGCAAUGGGCGAAAGCCUGACGGAGCAACGCCGCGUGAGUGAUGAAGGUCUUCGGAUCGUAAAACUCUGUUAUUAGGGAAGAACAUAUGUGUAAGUAACUGUGCACAUCUUGACGGUACCUAAUCAGAAAGCCACGGCUAACUACGUG